CAGCAGGAGUAGAGUCAUGUGUUAUGUAAUAGCUAGAUGUGGACAUGGAUAUGAUGUAAUGUAAAAGUAUGAUAUAAAAAUGUUAUGUAAUGAUGCUUAUGAAAGUUUAGAGUUGUGCUUGACCAUAGUAUUAUGUUAAUCCCUUUCUAGUACAUGAUUUUAAUGUUUAAUGAUGAUUAUUGUAAACCAAACUUAAUUUAUGUUAUGUCACCCCAUUGGAGCAUUGAUGAGGACUCCAAGGUGGGGUUAAUGUUUAUGUUUAUGAAUAGUGCAUGCACAGGUUGAGUUUGGUGAUUGAAUGGAAAGAAAAG
rnacentral:lncRNA from 1 species